rnacentral:rRNA from 1 species
GACGAACGCUGGCGGCGUGCUUAACACAUGCAAGUCGAACGGAAAGGCCUCUUUCGGGGGGUACUCGAGUGGCGAACGGGUGAGUAACACGUGAGUAACCUGCCCUUGACUUUGGGAUAACUUCAGGAAACUGGGGCUAAUACCGGAUAGGAGCUCCUGCUGCAUGGUGGGGGUUGGAAAGUUUCGGCGGUUGGGGAUGGACUCGCGGCUUAUCAGCUUGUUGGUGGGGUAGUGGCUUACCAAGGCUUUGACGGGUAGCCGGCCUGAGAGGGUGACCGGCCACAUUGGGACUGAGAUACGGCCCAGACUCCUACGGGAGGCAGCAGUGGGGAAUAUUGCACAAUGGGUGGAAGCCUGAUGCAGCAACGCUGUGUGCGGGAUGACGGCCUUCGGGUUGUAAACCGCUUUCGCUCAUGACGAAGCUUUGUGUGACGGUAGUGGGUAAAGAAGCACCGGCUAACUACGU